rnacentral:lncRNA from 1 species
CUUGUAUUUAGGUUUUACUUCUGAAUCAGUCAUCCGUUCUUUCUAGAGACGAUUUGAACUGGAACCCUUUAUCUCAAUUUGUCUUAUUGCUAAAAUGUGUUUGUUUGAAUAGAGUAUAGUUGUGGCCCAGAACACUCCUGAUUCAGAGUUUGUUUUUGCAAACCUGAAAGGUGGACUCCAGCCCAUUCCUACCUUCGUAGGAGUUAAUCUUGCUGCCAUAUGUUUCUGUAAAUUUAAAGUGUCUGAUCAAAUAAGCAGGAAGAUCAGCUAAUAAUAGUGUAUGUAUUUGACAGAUAUGUAGUGAGUUUUGUUUUAAAAUAUCCCAUAAGAAUCCUGCAAACUACUUCAUAUGUAGGAGUAAUUUCACUUAUCCCCAGGUGGGAGCCAGCAGCAGUUCAGCCAUGUGGAGCCACACAACAGAACCACCGUGGGAAAGAAAUGAAGAGGGUUUCUAGAGAUGAUUGAAACUGCGAGGGAGGUUGGACAAGCAGAAGUGUGCCUCUCUUCUGUGGGAAUAGAGAAGAAACUAAUUCCAAGAGACCAUAUAGCAGAGCAGUCUUUCCAAGGAUGUGUGCCUGCCGCCGUGCCAAAAUCCUGUGUUCUACCACUGCUUUUCCUCUACAUGUAUAUCCUGGGGGGAUAUUCCCUGGGUCUGGCUCUGUGGAGGAACCUGCAUCUUUGAACCCUCAGUCCCUCUUGGCCCACCCCAGCACACAUCAGCAGGGAAACCAUCAAUAUGGGUUGGCUUUAUUUGUGGACGAAGCUGUUCUAUGAGCACUAGGGGCUGUCACUAGCCCCCAGGAGCCAAAUAUCAUGUAGGGCAUAAAGCCCUGGGCAAGGGACUCUCCACAUAACCUCGUGAUCUCCUUCACUGGUGUGAUCACUGCUGCUAAAGCUGCCCGUGCAGGAUGGGUGUUUGGACUUCCCUUCUCCUCUCCACACCCUCACUCAGAGGACUACAUCAGAGACAAAGAGCCUUUCAUGAAUGCAAAUUUCAGAC